AGAAUCGUGUUGAGGCACGAUUCUGAAGCCCUUCCCCCGUGUAUCUCGGCCCCAAAAUCUCCAACUUCUAACUUCACAAUCCAAGCUCUAUUUAUUCCCUUGAAUUCUCAUCAACCCUAGCCGUAUUUGUGUUCCUUGCAUCUCUGAAAUUCAUCAAAACUCCAUCGCCCUCAUCAGUAAGCUCUUUCCUUCACAAACCCAGUUUUAUUCAAUUACGUUGCUUCCAUUCGAAAUUAAUAUCUCUCUCGUUUCAGCACCAAAUUGCGUUCCGUUUAAUUCCAGAGAUUGUAGACUCAACCCUCUACAAGUCCGUGCUUAUUUUUCAGAUAACACCGUUUGAAGAUCGAGAUCAGUUUUGUUUAUUUCCAGCGAUAGAAGACUCACGUGUCUACAAAUCCCAACUUUUGUUUCGUCAAACGCCGUUCGGGGAUCAAAAUCAGUUCUGUCCAUUCCCCGUGAAAGUAGACUCACGCCUCUACGAUUCUAUACAUUUCUUUCGUCAAACGACUCUUCGACUACUCGCGCUCCGGAGUCGAACCAGGGUUAGCUGUUUGCCGAAGUUCACGUGGAUAAGGAAGCAUUGAGUUUGUAGUGCUAUUUACCGAUUUAUUAAAUACCGCAUCGUAUUUUAAUAUUAUAAAUGUUUUUGAACUGUUUUUACGGAUUAUGGAUCUUGAUUGAAACGAGCUACUCGAUAGGCUUGUAUCGAGACUGUGUGCACCGGUAAGUACUCUGGGAAAAGGCAGACUAAUGAUUUGCUUACGCUGGUAUAUAUAUAUAUGACGAGAAUUUGUUCCCGUCCACUCUGGGUUUAUUAGUAUGCUAUGUCAUACUUACGCUGGGAUCAUUUAAAUAUUGUUUUCCAUAAUCAUAUUAUAUUAGUGUAAAAAGGUUUUGAUUUAAAGGUUUUAAACUUAAUAAAUGUAAAUAGUAUUGCGAACUCAUCUCAGUAUAUCUGACCCCGUUGUUUUCCCAAAUUUUUCAGGUUUAUGAUUUGAAAGCUGGUCCGCUCCGAUUCUUUUGAUUCUUCGGAGGUUUUUACGUUAUUUAAAUUAGUUACUGUUUUCGAACUCUUAGACCACAGUAGAACUAGUUAUUAUAUAUUACAUUGAUAUUACACUUGGGAUUAUCGAUUUGAUCGAUUAUUUAUUAUUAGUAUAUUUACU